rnacentral:ncRNA from 2 species
UCUUGUUAAAUUUAAAGUUGUAUGCUACAAUUAACAAAGUUGAAUAAGCAAGGAAGUAGGUGAGAAUCCUACGCAGUGCCGCUACGGUGUUUGCUCACGCAUAAGCCCGAUACUUGCAACGCGCUUUCAUUUCGG